UUCAUCCCCAAAGCCGUCCGGUACCGGUAUCUUUGAUCAUUUUUCUGUUUCAUCCAUUACUUUUCUUGGUGAAAUCAGAGCUCCUGGUCCAUUUUACCCAAUGUUUGAAUCUUCUCUUGAAUUUCCAAGUUUCAAGACUCAAGCUACUGCAAUCGGGAAACCCCCAAAUCUCUUCCUUCUCUGUCUCCAUUUCAAUGUAGAGUUCACGCCACAGUGUCAAAAACCCAAGUUGGUUCCGGGUAGUGAAUAAUGUGAUUGUCUUCAGAAGAAAGAUUUAGACAAACAAUCUGUUUCUACAAAAAGGCUUAGUCUGCAAGUGUAAGAGAAAUAUAGAUAUGUCUAAUUACGACAUGGAUUUCCAGUUGGAUGAUGAUGCCCUACCAUCGAUGCAUGACAACGUCCAAUUUGAUGAUAGUGAUUUUACCUUGUUUUUUGUAAUCCAAGAAUUUACCUUGAUAUGAAAUGUAUUUUGCUAGAAAUGUAAAGAACAUCUUGCUAUGAAUGUAAAGUUUUAAUAUUUUCGAUUCAA